AGCGAACGCUGGCGGCAGGCCUAACACAUGCAAGUCGAACGGGCUCUUCGGAGCUAGUGGCGGACGGGUGAGUAACACGUGGGAACGUGCCUUUAGGUUCGGAAUAAGCCCGGGAAACUGGGUCUAAUACCGAAUGUGCCCUUCGGGGGAAAGAUUUAUCGCCUUUAGAGCGGCCCGCGUCUGAUUAGCUUGUUGGUGAGGUAAUGGCUCACCAAGGCGACGAUCAGUAGCUGGUCUGAGAGGAUGACCAGCCACAUUGGGACUGAGACACGGCCCAAACUCCUACGGGAGGCAGCAGUGGGGAAUCUUGCGCAAUGGGCGAAAGCCUGACGCAGCCAUGCCGCGUGGAUGAUGAAGGUCUUAGGAUUGUAAAAUCCUUUCACCGGUGAAGAUAAUGACUGUAGCCGGAGAAGAAGCCCCGGCUAACUUCGUGCCAGCAGCCGCAGUAAGAC
rnacentral:rRNA from 1 species